GGUUUGUGGGUCAGUGGUAGAGCACUUGCCUAGAAAGUGUGAGGCCCUAGGUUUGACCCUUAGCACCA
rnacentral:tRNA from 1 species